UACGUAGGGGGCUAGCGUUGUCCGGAAUCAUUGGGCGUAAAGCGCGUGUAGGCGGUCCGGUAAGUCCGCUGUGAAAACUCGAGGCUCAACCUCGAGACGUCGGUUGAAACCACCUGGCUAGAGUCCGGAAGAGGAGAGUGGAAUUCCCGGUGUAGCGGUGAAAUGCGCAGAUAUCGGGAAGAACACCCGUGGCGAAGGCGGCUCUCUGGGACGGUACUGACGCUGAGACGCGAAAGCGUGGGGAGCGAACAGG
rnacentral:rRNA from 1 species